GUCGGGAAAAGUGACUCGGUCCGGUGUAGGCUAUAACAUCGACAGGGCGGAGACCCGUCGUCGUCAUCGUCGCUAUCACUACGUGCUGAACUUCCAUGAAAAGGGCAUUUCCUUCUGUCUCUGCGGCAUGUGUAUGAUGACUGCAAGCAGCCCCUUUUUUCGACAGUGGGCCGCCUCGAGUUAAUAAAACAACAGCCGCUGACAGGGCGCUUCUGUGCUUCAGAGGUUCGUUCACCCAAUGGUAAAAGGCAUGUAUUUGUGUUUGAGGCGGAAACUGCCGAAGUUGUUCGGACCUCUUCGAAAGAAGAUGCACCUGUUCCUGAAAGGUCACAUCUUGAACCGACUUCAGACACACUUCUUUUUCGUUUUCCGCUCCGCUCUGUGUCCGAUGGGGUAUUCGCGGCCAACCCGUCUAUGUGCUCAACGAGGGUGUCGGCGCUGGAUCUGGUAGAUGUGCAGGACUCUCUACUACACGUGUUAGUGUCUCGGUCUUGGACGGGCGUAAGUCCCUGGGAAUCUGUUCCCUCUCCCAACGCAGAACACAAAUCCGCCAAAGGAGAGCUAAUACCCUGUUUUGAGUCAGGCUGUUUCUCAUGUUCAUGCUCUUGUUCGUUUGAUCCUUUCGUAGGCUGACGAUGCAUGUCCUCUCCCGCUCGAGACGGGUCUCUUCCACAAUUGCCGCUAUGUGAUACACUGCGUCCGUCCACCUGCGGCCGUGUGUCGAAUGGCGUUCCACAGUUUUCACAUACCGAAAAAGGCGUCCCUCGAAUGCGACGAAGCCAGAUGCGGUGCUGCUGACCUGCGCCAGCUUCCGUGUUCCUGUGAGACGAAGGUGCCUUUGCAUUUUCUCGUUUGCUGUAAGAACAGCCGUUUGUGUUGCAAGGUGCGCUAUACGAGCAGGAAGACGACGGCAGAAAGUUCUUUCCGACAUUAUGGUGGCUUACAGUAGAAAUGCACUCUGAUGUCGAAGGCGUGUUCGAGAAAAGCCUGUGUCCAUAUAUGAAGAACGAUUGCGGAGGGUCGCCGCCAUCAUGUGGUCGUUCAACAAACAAUGAACAACAGUCCUGCCGGAGUUCCGCCCUGUUAUUGUAGGUGUCCGGGAGGCAAGAUGGAAUUCCUCUUCUGUCCACAUUCGACGAAAUUCCGCGGUUCUCCGUCAGGGACAAGCGAGAGGCUCCACCGGGGCUUUCUCGCAUGACAUGGCGAACACCGGUAUCUCUGCCCUGGAAUUGAAUCGACAGCGCGCGACGAGCCUCCGCACUGCUCUCCUGUUGGGUGGUGUCUCCUCUUCUGACCACACUUUCCGCACCACACUGAGUGCCAGGGUUGGAUGGCAUCUGAGGAAAGUCUGCCGUUUGCAUCUCAGGGACAGAACCCGUUGAUCCGGAUUCAUGUGUCACCGCUUGUUCAUCCCCUGUUUGAAGCCAUGCAAUGCUGUUAUCUGGCUGCUUGGUUGCACCACCUGCAAACAAGUAAGCGGAGGAAGGCUGGGCAAGGCGACCUACGUAGGCAGAGGGGCAACCGUCACAAGAAGACAAAGCAACGCUGGAGGGUGCUUCAGCAUUUCUGAAAGAUAUGGGAGACCCCUGGAACUGGGCAGCCUUCUUUUGGUUGUUGCUCUCGUUGGAUGGCAAGACUGUUUUCCUCCAUAUUCCACUGGAAAACGUUUUUUUCGUGAACGAUGGUUGUGUGAAAGGCACCUCUGCUACAUUCUUUCUGCCAGGACAUACGGUUUCCUGUCCGUCAGUAUCGGCUGCGAUUGAACACAAUAGCGGCUUUGGCGACACGAUCGCCGUUUGCCAUCGAUCCGGUUCGUCGUUUUGGCAAACUCCGACUCCGGCAGAUGGCCGUUGUGCAUUGCUUUCUUCCGGCUGAAGAACAAUGGUUUCGUUCGUGUUUUCAGAGGCACCUAAGUGACCAGCAAAUCCAGCAGCACUAGUGUUAUCCGACUCCGCCUCACUGCAGUUCGGGACUCCAGUCAGUUUGGCAGCCAUCUUCACCCAUUCGUUUCGCAAUUCGGGCUCAUAAUGCGUGUUGCCUUAACAAGCAGUCGAAGUGAGCAGCUGGGUCGAAACCCAACAAGGUCGUCCGUUCCGCAGUGGGCCUUCCUGGAAACUGGGGAACGGUGAGUUCCGUAGACUCAUGCGUCUAAGAGAGGCA
rnacentral:lncRNA from 1 species